rnacentral:rRNA from 1 species
CGGUGGAGCAUGUGGCUUAAUUCGAGGCAACGCGAAGAACCUUAUCCUGGGCUUGACAUGGUCGGAUUAGCUCUCUGAAAGGAGAGUGACGCCUUCGGGUGGAACGAUCACAGGUGCUGCAUGGCUGUCGUCAGCUCGUGUCGUGAGAUGUCGCGUUAAGUCGCUAAACGAGCGCAACCCCUGUCCUUAGUUGCCAACACGUCAUGGUGGGGACUCUAAGGAGACCGCCGGCGUCAAGCCGGAGGAAGGCGGGGAUGACGUCAAGUCCUCAUGGCCUUUAUGCCCAGGGCUGCACACGUGCUACAAUGGGGCGUACAGAGGGAAGCCAAGCUGCGAAGCGGAGCAAAUCCCAGAAAGCGUCCCCCAGUUCGGAUUGCAGGCUGCAACUCGCCUGCAUGAAGCCGGAAUCGCUAGUAAUCGCGGGUCAGCAAUACCGCGGUGAAUGUGUUCCUGAGCCUU